AUUGAACGCUGGCGGCAGGCCUAACACAUGCAAGUCGAGCGGAUGAAGGGAGCUUGCUCCUGGAUUCAGCGGCGGACGGGUGAGUAAUGCCUAGGAAUCUGCCUGGUAGUGGGGGAUAACGUCCGGAAACGGGCGCUAAUACCGCAUACGUCCUGAGGGAGAAAGUGGGGGAUCUUCGGACCUCACGCUAUCAGAUGAGCCUAGGUCGGAUUAGCUAGUUGGUGGGGUAAAGGCCUACCAAGGCGACGAUCCGUAACUGGUCUGAGAGGAUGAUCAGUCACACUGACGAGGAGACACGGUGUGAACGCGUGGGGGGGGGGAGAGUGGGGAAUAUGGGACGGGGGGGGAAGGCCAGAUCGUGCGAGGCCUGGGGUGGGAAUGAUGUUGUAGAUUUGUAAAGCAGUUGAAGUGGGGAGGAAGGGAAGUAAGUUAAUACCUUGUUGUUUGCACGAUAACAAAAGCGUAGGACCCGUCAAACUGCGUGCCAGCAGCGGGGGUAAUAGAUGGAAGAACACUCGGCUAAC
rnacentral:rRNA from 1 species